rnacentral:lncRNA from 1 species
GAGUUGACGUUCAAGAGAUUGGAGGAACAAAUCCAGUUCUGGAUGCGUUGAAGUUCUAGAGAGAGUAACGACAGCAAGCGUGGGAGUACCUCAGUGACGAGGAGGAUCUUCUUUCCGGAGAUUUGAUAGAAUUGAUGAGUAUUUGGUGAUUCAUCACCCAUUCUAAACAAUACAAUCCAUGGUCUGAAGCAAGGAGACCAAUUA